rnacentral:rRNA from 1 species
UACAGGGGGGGCAAGCGUUGUUCGGAAUUACUGGGCGCAAAGGGCCCGUAGGCGGCCGACUAAGUCCGACGUGAAAUCCCCAGGCUUAACCUGGGAACUGCGUCGGAUACUGGUUGGCUUGAAUUCGGGAGAGGGAUGCAGAAUUCCAGGUGUAGCGGUGAAAUGCGUAGAUAUCGGGAGGAACACCAGUGGCGAAGGCGGCUUCCUGGCCUGUUCUUGACGCUGAGGCGCGAAAGCUAGGGUAGCAAACGGG